AUGCACGCUGGCGGCGUGCUUAACACAUGCAAGUCGAACGAGAAAUGUAGACGGAAACCUUCGGGCGGAAGCCUUCAUUUCGAGUGGCGGACGGGUGAGUAACGCGUGGGUAACCUGCCUCAUACAGGGGGAUAACAGUUGGAAACGACUGUUAAUACCGCAUAAGACCACAGCAUCGCAUGAUGCGGGGGUAAAAACUCCGGUGGUAUGAGAUGGACCCGCGUUCGAUUAGCCAGUUGGCGGGGUAACGGCCCACCAAAGCGACGAUCGAUAGCCGAUCUGAGAGGAUGACCGGCCACAUUGGGACUGAGACACGGCCCAAACUCCUACGGGAGGCAGCAGUGGGGAAUAUUGCACAAUGGGGGAAACCCUGAUGCAGCGACGCCGCGUGAGUGAAGAAGUACUUCGGUAUGUAAAGCUCUAUCAGCAGGGAAGAAAAUGACGGUACCUGAGUAAGAAGCCCCGGCUAACUACGUG
rnacentral:rRNA from 1 species